GCCCGUGUAGCUCAGUUGGUAGAGCAUGGUGUUUGCAACGCCAGGGUUGUGGGUUCAAUUCCCACAGGGGACC
rnacentral:tRNA from 1 species